rnacentral:rRNA from 1 species
CACUCCUGCGGGAGGCAGCAGUGGGGAAUAUUGGACAAUGGGCGCAAGCCUGAUCCAGCCAUGCCGCGUGAGUGAUGAAGGCCCUAGGGUUGUAAAGCUCUUUUGUGCGGGAAGAUAAUGACGGUACCGCAAGAAUAAGCCCCGGCUAACUUCGUGCCAGCAGCCGCGGUAAUACGAAGGGGGCUAGCGUUGCUCGGAAUCACUGGGCGUAAAGGGUGCGUAGGCGGGUCUUUAAGUCAGGGGUGAAAUCCUGGAGCUCAACUCCAGAACUGCCUUUGAUACUGAAGAUCUUGAGUUCGGGAGAGGUGAGUGGAACUGCGAGUGUAGAGGUGAAAUUCGUAGAUAUUCGCAAGAACACCAGUGGCGAAGGCGGCUCACUGGCCCGAUACUGACGCUGAGGCACGAAAGCGUGGGGAGCAAACAGGAUUAGAAACCCCUGUAGUCCCAUGA